UACGUAGGGUGCGAGCGUUGUCCGGAAUUAUUGGGCGUAAAGGGCUCGUAGGCGGUCUGUUGCGUCAGGAGUGAAAACUCGGGGCUUAACCCCGAGCCUGCUUCUGAUACGGGCAGACUAGAGGUAUGCAGGGGAGACUGGAAUUCAUGGUGUAGCAGUGAAAUGCGUAGAGAUCAUGAGGAAGACCAGUGGCGAAGGCGGGUCUCUGGACAGUUCCUGACACUGAGACACGAAGGCCAGGGGAGCAAACGGG
rnacentral:rRNA from 1 species